rnacentral:rRNA from 1 species
UACGAAGGGGGCUAGCGUUGCUCGGAAUUACUGGGCGUAAAGGGUGCGUAGGCGGCUUUUUAAGUUUGGUGUGAAAUCUCCCGGCUCAACUGGGAGGGUGCGCCGAAUACUGAGAGGCUAGAGUGUGGGAGAGGAAAGUGGAAUUCCUGGUGUAGCGGUGAAAUGCGUAGAUAUCAGGAGGAACACCGGUGGUGUAAACGGCUUUCUGGACCAUAACUGACGCUGAUGCACGAAAGCGUGGGUAGCAAACAGG